GACGAACGCUGGCGGCGUGCCUAAUACAUGCAAGUCGAGCGAAUGGAUUAAGAGCUUGCUCUUAUGAAGUUAGCGGCGGACGGGUGAGUAACACGUGGGUAACCUGCCCAUAAGACUGGGAUAACUCCGGGAAACCGGGGCUAAUACCGGAUAACAUUUUGAACCACAUGGUUCGAAAUUGAAAGGCGGCUUCGGCUGUCACUUAUGGAUGGACCCGCGUCGCAUUAGCUAGUUGGUGAGGUAACGGCUCACCAAGGCAACGAUGCGUAGCCGCCCUGAGAGGGUGAUCGGCCACACUGGGACUGAGACACGGCCCAGACUCCUACGGGAGGCAGCAGUAGGGAAUCUUCCGCAAUGGACGAAAGUCUGACGGAGCAACGCCGCGUGAGUGAUGAAGGCUUUCGGGUCGUAAAACUCUGUUGUUAGGGAAGAACAAGUGCUAGUUGAAUAAGCUGGCACCUUGACGGUACCUAACCAGAAAGCCACGGCUAACUACGUGCCAGCCGCCGCCGUAA
rnacentral:rRNA from 1 species